rnacentral:lncRNA from 1 species
UAUAGAAAAAGAAAAGGCAGUCCAAAAAGAGAAAGAACUUGCUAUAGAAAAGGAAAAGGCAGGAGUCUUUUUUUGUGUUUGUUGGAGUGAAUGAAAUUUACUUGAAAAUAAAUUGCUUGACAUAUGAUAUGACACCAUACAAGAUGAUGAAUACACUGUCUUCCUCUAUUAUGGGUUAUGACUAUUAUGGUAAUUUUCAUCAGUGAAAUCAACCGUCCUUAUGUGCCUAGUGAUGAAAAUGUUACUGCUGUAUAUGUUUCUCUCUAACUAUUAGAGCAGUAAAGGCGUAAUGAUGAUGACAUUUUUUGCUGAAUUUUAAUUCUGGAUGAAAUAAUAAAAACUUUACCCAAUAAAAACAACCGGCUGCUAUGCAGUAAUGUAAAGUUUAUCUUCCUGGUACUCAUUACAAACCAUACCCACUAAGUCUCUUCUCCAGUCAUGGGACACAGAUUGCAUGUCAGAAAUUAUUAAUAACAAUAAAUACAAUAACUUAUUACACGUAUAUGCUUUAGGUCAACUUUUACUAGCUGUGAGUUGAUCUAGGAGAGUUGAUGAUGUCUGGUCUUAAACUAAAUAUCAUUAAUGUUAUUGUUUUUUUUUGCAAAUAAUAAAUUAUGAAUCGCA